UCAUUAUAUGUGCCAGAAAAAGAAAACAUCUUUCCAAAAGAAGCCCUCGUCAUUCUCAACGCUAGAUUCUUCUCUUCUCAACGCUGCUUCUGGUUCAAGAAAUUCAAGCUCUUGUUUUGGAUGAAAGCUACAAACCACACUGGACGAACAACACGAGGUUGGAUUCUGUCUAAAUUCAUCUUUGUUGGACCUUAAUCUUCAAACUUCUAUAAACACCACACACAUUUUUGUUUAUGCAAAAUAAUAGAGCGACUUCACAGUUUCAAUUUCAACGGACCCGAUGGUUGGAAUUAUUGGCGGUGGUAUGUAUGGCCUUCUUUAUGCUCUCUAUCUCCAGAAGAGAGGCAUUAAGUCCACUGUUUUUUACACGGUUCAGUGCUACAUAUGCGAUUUCUCAAUUUCGAAUUGGGAUGGAAUGCUGUUCUAAUGUGUAGUCAUGAAAUCAAGUUGCUACUGUGGUUAGUUAUGGCACGUCGAAAUUUGAUUGCUAUUUGCAGGGAAUUUAUUUCAUAACAUGCUGAAACCUUUUUACCUUGUUGCAUAGGUUUCGACAUGUUUCAUAGAUCACUUAAGAAUUCAGUUUUGAAACAUAGUCGUUUAUAGAUGUAUUUGAAGAUAUGUGCAAAUAAUAAGGACAUAAUCCUUUCAUCAAUAAAGAAUGGGUAUAAAUUAUGUAUUGGCACUGAUGAAAAUUACACAAUUAUAGUUUAAAAAAUUGUCAUGCUUUGUAUAUGUUGUGGUUAUGCUUGACAAUCCUAUAUGGUAUAGCCAUCUCCGUAUAUGAAUAUUUCUUCCAUUUGUGCGAUUAAGUUUGAAGUAGCUUUGUUCUCAAAAGAAUCUUAAUUACUUACAUUGAGUAUACAGUUCCUGUUGAACGAGGAAUUAUUUUUGCUAAUUCAUGACAUCAUUCGUACACACCAACAACAAACCAUUGUCAUUCUCCAUGAGUUUUUCCAACAGAACAAUGUUGGUAGGCAGUCGAGAGCUAACAAUCCACGUCGUUUAUUUCGUCGUUUAGCCUGCAUCCUCACCCAAGUGAAGCGUUUAAAUAGAUUAGUAGGUGUCACAAACUACUCUUGCUUAGAUAAUCUGCGUAUGGAUCGUAAUUGUUUUGGGAGGCUUUGUAUGGUUUUCGGAGAACAGACUGGGUUGGUAGGCGGAACGUUUGUUAAAGUGGAAGAACAAGUAGCAAUUUUCUUAUGCGGAUUAGCACACCAUAAAAAAAAUAGCGUAGUUAACUUUGAAUUUUGGCGCUCCGGCCAUACGGUUUCACACUAUGUACAUGUAGUCCUCAAUGCCCUCAUAAAGCUUCAUGCUCUAUUUGUUGUGAAGCCUACUCCAGUACCAGCUGACUGUGUCGAUAAUAGAUGGAAAUGGUUUAAGGGCUGUUUGGGUGCUUUAGAUGAUACAUAUAUCACUGUGCGGGUAGACAUGGCUGACAAACCAAGAUAUCGAACUAGGAAAAGACAUAUAGUGACAAACACUUUGGCUGCAUGCACUAGAGACAUGUUUUACAUAUGUGUUCCCUGGGUGGGAAGGGUCGGCUGGUGAUGCAGAGUCCUACGGGACACUGUGACCCGCGAAUUUGGACUUAUAGUGCCUAGAGGUCACUAUUAUCUAUGUGACAAUGGAUAUGCGAAUAAUGAAGACUUUUUAACACCCUAUAAAGGAGUUAGUUACCACCUAAAAGAAUGAGGUCUAAACACUGAGAGACCCAAGAAUCGUCGUGAAAUAUUUAACAUGCGGCAUACGAGUGUGAGAAAUGUUAUUGAAAGGGCAUUUGCGGUUCUUAAAAUGCGCUGGGGCAUUCUCCGUUGCUCAUCAUUCUCAGGCUGAGGCAACUCUUGAAGAGGAUAUUGGUGUGCGAGUCAAUAGGGACAACAUUUACAAUCGUUUGCUAUUCUUGGAACGUCGUUAUCGGUCCUUCAAAGGACUAGUCGAGCAUGCAGGUACAAGGUGGGAUAAGCCAUCGAACAAGGUCUUUGCUUCGGAGAAAACAUAGACUGCUAUUUUGAAGGCUUGUGAAUUCCUUGGAGCAUAUACUAUUGAUGGUGAACCUGAAUACAAACAAAUGCAAAUGAUGUUUGGAGGUGAAGGUUUAAAGCUGGAAAACAAUGUAGAGGUCAUCACCAUUUCCAACACCACUUUGGAAGCAUAAUUUGUUGACACAACCCGUUUGGGUAAAGCACACGUCCGUGGGAAAUCUUAUUCAGCAGCUGGCAAACAAAAGAGUAAGAUGAAUCCACACAAACUUUUCGACGAUGUCGGAAACGCCUCUGACCACGAAUUUACGAAGGUAAAGGAACAACUAGAUCAUCAAAUGCUACUUCUUGUGUUUCAUCUAACUCGAAUGCAUGGUGGCGUCGUCCGUAUGAAUGAAAUCAAUUUCCAACAUACCAUGUUCUAUAUGUAAUAUUAGGAUAUCCAUUUGGAUAAUAAGUUGUAAC